UGGGGAAUAUUGCACAAUGGACGAAAGUCUGAUGCAGCAACGCCGCGUGGAGGAUGACACAUUUCGGUGCGUAAACUCCUUUUAUAUGAGAAGAUAAUGACGGUAUCAUAUGAAUAAGCACCGGCUAACUCCGUG
rnacentral:rRNA from 2 species